rnacentral:tRNA from 1 species
GAGGAUGUAGCUCGUGGUAGAGCAUGUGCAUAACAGGUAUGAGGUCCUGGGUUCAAUCCCCAGUACCUCCA